GACAGAGGGGGCAAGCGUUGCUCGGAAUCACUGGGCGUAAAGGGCGCGUAGGCGGGAUGGCAAGUCGGUCGUGAAAUCUCUCGGCUCAACCGAGAAACGUCGGCCGAUACUGCCGUUCUUGAGGGAUGCAGAGGAGACUGGAAUUCCCGGUGUAGCGGUGAAAUGUGUAGAGAUCGGGAGGAACGACCGGUGGCGAAGGCGGGUCUCUGGGCAUUUCCUGACGCUGAGGCGCGAAAGCGUGGGGAGCAAACGGG
rnacentral:rRNA from 1 species